rnacentral:rRNA from 1 species
CAGUCGCCACGGUAAUACGGAGGGGGCUAGCGUUGUUCGGAAUUACUGGGCGUAAAGCGCACGUAGGCGGCUUGGUAAGUUAGAGGUGAAAGCCCGGAGCUCAACUCCGGAAUUGCCUUUAAGACUGCCGAGCUAGCAGGUGAGAGAGGUAAGUGGAAUUCCGAGUGUAGAGGUGAAAUUCGUAGAUAUUCGGAAGAACACCAGUGGCGAAGGCGGCUUACUGGCUCAUACUGGACGCUGAGGUGCGAAAGCGUGGGGAGCAAACAGGAUUAGAUACCCCCGUAGUCCCUGUCUCUUAUAC